AACAAACCCAGGAUACAAAUAUUGUUAAAUAAAGACAGAGCACACCAGGGACCCUAGGAGAGAAAAGGCCGAGAGCUGUGGGCAGAGACCAGUGGUGACUGAUAAGGCAUCCCGUGGGCCUUCCUUGACAUGGGUGGCCUGGAAGGGAGGAGAUCUGGACAGAGAAAGUGAUGCAGAGUAAACGGAGCAGAGGAGUAUUUCACCAACAUCUUUGAAUUAGAGAGAGGCAAGAGUUACCUGUCAGAGUGGUUCUGGGAAAAGAUGCAGAGCUACCUCAUUGCCAGUAGGGAUCAACAUUUGUCAGUGACUUCUGAAAAAACAAGCAAUCCUCAUGAAACAUAAAUUGUGAGCUGGCCUGGCUUCUCAGUAAUGGAAGAACAGUUUCCUAAAGCAACUGGACAUCCUUCCACCCACCUCCUAGAGCGGCAAGAAUCUGGCCACAGCCAUGCCAUGUAUUUGGAAUAGAGAACGAGAAAACCAGACGAGGAAGGUGACCUCAUGCCCUGCAUGUUCAACAAACCCAGGGGAGGAAACUUGAAGAGAUGACACUUCCUAACUAGACUGCUCUUGAUCUCAACCUCCUCACACCUUUAGCGACGCAUGGCUGAACAGGCAAUGCUGUUCAUGCCACCAGGCUUUGACCUUGAGAUCAAAAAGAAGAAUUCUACCAGCAACCAGGCCCAUAAAAGCCCCAGGCUCAGCCAGAGCUGGGCAGAUGUCAGGAUGACCUGCUGCAGAAAGGAGCUACCCACCUCAGGGCCUCCUCUCUGCUGACAGCUGCAGAGAUUAUGGAAUGACCUGCCUGCAGAGAGGAGCAACCCACUCCAGGACCCCAUCUCUGCUGAGAGCUGCAGACAUGAUGGGAUGACCUGCCUACAGAAAGCAGCAACCCACUCAUGGGUCUCCUAGAUGCUGAACACUCAUUGGGACAACCUGGCUGUGGAAAGGAGCUGCCCCCUGCAGGAGACUGACCUGUUCUCUUGCUCAAUAAAGCUCCUCUUCAUCCUGCUCACCCCACCACUUGUCUGCAUACCUCAUUCUUCUUAGUUGCAGGACAAGACCUCAGGACCCACCAAGUGGCAGGGCCAAACAAG